rnacentral:lncRNA from 1 species
AGUUGCCUGGCUCUCGGUACUGCUCGACUCUAGUCGAUGGUAGCCCGAUCUCGAGUGGGAUCAUCGCCUUCGUCUCAUAGGCCAAACUGAAAGGAGAUUCUCCGAUUGGGACAUGGGAUGUCGUUCGGUACGUCCAUAGGACGGAAUUCAAUUCUUCGAUCCAGAGGCCUUUGGCUUCAUUCAGUCGGAUCUUUAGUCCAUGCAG